ACGGCUGAGGACCACGUGGGAACAUGCCUCCUUGUGGGGGACAACACCGCGAAAGCGGUGCUAAUCCCGCAUACGCUCGCAAGAGGAAAGCCGCAAGGCGCAGGGAGAGUGGCCCGCGGCCCAUCAGGUAGUCGGUGGGGUAACGGCCUACCGAGCCAAUGACGGGUAGCUGGUCUGUGAGGACAGACAGCCAGACUGGGACUGAGACACGGCCCAGACUCCUACGGGAGGCAGCAGCAAGGAAUUUUCGUCAAUGGGCGCAAGCCUGAACGAGCAACGCCGCGUGGAGGAUGACGGCCUUCGGGUUGUAAACUCCUUUUUCGGGGGACGAUAAUGACGGUACCCCGGGAAUAAGGCUCGGCUAACUCUGUGCCAGCAGCCGCGGUAAUACAGAGGAGCCAAGCGUUGUCCGGAUUGACUGGGCGUAAAGCGCACGCAGGCGGAUGCGCGCGUGGGGUGUGAAAUCUGGCCGCUUAACGGCCGGGCGCCAUCCCAUACGGCGCGUCUGGAGUGAUGCAGAGGUCGGUGGAAUUGCCGGUGUAGUGGUGAAAUGCGUAGA
rnacentral:rRNA from 1 species